GGAACAGUAGUACAGUCGGUCAGUACGCCCAGCUCAUAACUGGGUUCACGCGGGUUCAAAUCCUGCCUGUUCCA
rnacentral:tRNA from 1 species